rnacentral:lncRNA from 1 species
CCUGCCUGCACCGUUCCCAUGGCGACGGCAGCUCAUCCCGCUCCUCCGCUCUCUGAGCAGCCGAGAAAAUGGGGGGGAAACCUCCAUCCUUCCCCUUCCCCCCCAGUUCCCCGGCCCGGCUGGUGGCUGGGCCUGGCACUCGCGGCUGCACCGUGUCCCCCCCCCCCUCCCCGGGGUAGGGGGGACACCCCAGAGAGGGGGGACCCCCACCCCAGCCCCUCUCUCCCCCCCCAUCCCUCCCUCCCUCCUUCCGUUACCAUGGGAACCGCAGCGUGGUGUCCCCCAGCGAUGGGUCCCGGUCCCAGAUGCCCCAUGGAUGGAGGUCUCGGGGACGUUGCCCGGUGGCCGCCAUCCCGGCCUGCCGCCGGCGUAGUGGGGAGGUGGGGGGGUGGGGGGGGAAGGCAGGGGAGGUUAUUUGGAGGGUUGGUGUCCCCCCCCUCCCUGCAUCGCUAUUUUUGGCAGCUGCCGGCGCGGGGAGGUGUGGGGGGGGGGAGGCUGGAGCGGGAUGAAUCACCCGGCGGCGCAGCCGGUAAGGAACCUGCUGCGCUGAGCCGCCUGCGCGGGGGGUGCGAGGGAGAGAGCCGCCAUGGGGCCAGGGAGCUGCUAUGGGGCCAGGGAGCAGCCAUGGGGCCAGGGAGCUGCCAUGGGGCCAGGGAGCUGCCAUGGGGCCAGGGAGCGGCCAUGGGGCCAGGGAGAUGCUGUGAGGUCAGGGAGCUUCCAUGGGGGCCAGAGCGCUGUUGUGGGACCAGAGAUCUGCCAUGGGGCCAGGGAACUGCUAUGGGGCCAAGGAGAUGCUGUGGGGGCCAGAGAGCUGUUAUGGGGCCAGAGAUCUGCCAUGGGGCCACGGAGCUGCCGUGGAGGCCAGAGAGCCGCUGUGGGGCCAGGGAGCUGCCACCGGGGACAGAGAGCUGCCAUGGGGCCAGGGAGCUGCUGUGGGGGCCAGGGAGUUCUCGUGGGGCCAGGGAGCUGCUAUGGGUCCAGAGAACUGCCGUGGGGCCGGAGAGCUGCUGUGGGGCCAGAGAGCCACCAUGGGGGCCAGAGAGUCGUCAUGGGGCCAAGGAGCUGCCAUGGGGCCAGGGAGCUGCUGUCGGGAACAGAG